GACGAACGCUGGCGGCGUGCUUAACACAUGCAAGUCGAACGGAAAGGCCCUGCUUUUGUGGGGUGCUCGAGUGGCGAACGGGUGAGUAACACGUGAGUAACCUGCCCUUGACUUUGGGAUAACUUCAGGAAACUCGGGCUAAUACCGGAUAGGAGCUCCUGCUGCAUGGUUGGGGUUGUAAAGUUUCGGCGGUUGGGGAUGGACUCGCGGCUCAUCAGUUUGUUGGUGGGGUAGUGGCUUACCAAGGCUUUGACGGGUAGCCGGCAUGCGAGGGUGACCGGGCACAUUGGGACUGAGAUACGGACCAGACUCCUACGGGAGGCAGCAGUGGGGAAUAUUGCACAAUGGGCGGAAGCCUGAUGCAGCAACGCCGCGUGCGGGAUGACGGCCUUCGGGUUGUAAACCGCUUUCGCAUGUGACGAAGCGUGAGUGAAGGUAAUGGGUAAAGAAGCACCGGCUAACUACGUG
rnacentral:rRNA from 1 species